CCAAUAGCGUAUAUUAAAGUUGUUGCAGUUAAAAAGCUCGUAGUUGAAUUUCGGGGUCAGUAGGUUGGUCAUGCCACUGGUAUGUACUGGUCUCACUGAUUCCUCCUUCCUGAUGAACUGUAAUGCCAUUAAUUUGGUGUUGCAGGGAAUCUGGACUGUUACUUUGAAAAAAUUAGAGUGUUUAAAGCAGGCUAACGCCUGAAUACAUUAGCAUGGAAUAAUGAAAUAGGACGUUCGAUCCUAUUUUGUUGGUUUCUAGGAUUGACGUAAUGAUUAAUAGGGAUAGUUGGGGGCAUUAGUAUUCAAUUGUCAGAGGCGAAAUUCUUGGAUUUAUUGAAGACUAACUACUGCGAAAGCAUUUGCCAAGGAUGUUUUCAUUAAUCAAGAACGAAAGUUAGGGGAUCGAAGACGAUCAGAUACCGUCGUAGUCUUAACCAUAAACUAUGCCGACUAGGGAUCGGAUGAUGUUAAUUUUUUAAUGACUCAUUCGGCGCCUUACG
rnacentral:rRNA from 1 species